GAUGAACGCUGGCGGCGUGCCUAAUACAUGCAAGUCGAGCGAACGGACGAGAAGCUUGCUUCUCUGAUGUUAGCGGCGGACGGGUGAGUAACACGUGGAUAACCUACCUAUAAGACUGGGAUAACUUCGGGAAACCGGAGCUAAUACCGGAUAAUAUUUUGAACCGCAUGGUUCAAAAGUGAAAGACGGUCUUGCUGUCACUUAUAGAUGGAUCCGCGCUGCAUUAGCUAGUUGGUAAGGUAACGGCUUACCAAGGCAACGAUGCAUAGCCGACCUGAGAGGGUGAUCGGCCACACUGGAGCUGAGACAGGGUCCAGACUCCUACGGGAGGCAGCAGUAGGGAAUCUUCCGCAAUGGGCGAAAGCCUGACGGAGCAACGCCGCGUGAGUGAUGAAGGUCUUCGGAUCGUAAAACUCUGUUAUUAGGGAAGAACAUAUGUGUAAGUAACUGUGCACAUCUUGACGGUACCUAAUCAGAAAGCCACGGCUAACUACGUG
rnacentral:rRNA from 1 species